rnacentral:rRNA from 1 species
AACUGAUUAWGAUAUGUUUAUCUGAAAAGUUCAGUCAUAUGGCGGUUUUGUGUCUAACUAGAGAAACAUGUUUAUUUAUACGACAAUACACGAGCAUCUUACUUAUAACUACCUUACACACCGUCGUCGGAAGGGUUGUAUAGAAAUAUAGCUCUUAUACUUAAUCAAGUAUUAAGUCAGAUCAAGGCGUAGGAUCAUUUAUAAGAUUAAAUGUGUCUCAUUGAGU